UUGGAGGGCAAGUCUGGUGCCAGCAGCCGCGGUAAUUCCAGCUCCAAUAGCGUAUAUUAAAGUUGCUGCAGUUAAAAAGCUCGUAGCUGAAUUUCGGGACCAUCAUGUCGGUCGUGCCUCGGUACGUACUGGCAUUGUUGGUUUCUCCCUUCUGACGAACCAUGAUGUCAUUUAUUUGGUGUUGUGGGGAAUCAGGACUGUUACUUUGAAAAAAUUAGAGUGUUUAAAGCAGGCUCACGCUUGAAUACAUUAGCAUGGAAUAAUGAAAUAGGACGUUUGAUUCUAUUUUGUUGGUUUCUAGGAUCGACGUAAUGAUUAAUAGGGAUAGUUGGGGGCAUUAGUAUUCAAUUGUCAGAGGUGAAAUUCUUGGAUUUAUUGAAGACUAACUACUGCGAAAGCAUUUGCCAAGGAUGUUUUCAUUAAUCAAGAACGAAAGUUAGGGGAUCGAAGACGAUCAGAUACCGUCGUAGUCUUAACCAUAAACUAUGCCGACUAGGGAUCGGAUGAUGUUAAUUUUUUAAUGACUCAUUCGGCGCCUUACGGGAAAC
rnacentral:rRNA from 1 species